rnacentral:lncRNA from 1 species
GAGUCGCGGCUCGCUUCCCUUCCCGGCGCUGACUCCUCGCAGACCUCAAGCCGAGCCCUGAGGAUGAUGACAGGAAGGUGCGAAGGAGAGAAAAAAACCGAGUUGCUGCUCAGAGAAGUCGGAAGAAGCAGACCCAGAAGGCUGACAAACUCCACGAGGCUGAGCUCCGACCAGGCAACCUCGUGGCAACCAGACCAUUUUCAGAGUUUUUUGUUUCCUAUCUCUGCUUCGGUAUGUUUUCAUGUAAUAUAAUCGUGCAGAUGAGCAGAUGACUGAACCCAUUUAAUUACAAAUUCGUUUCCUCUUAGAUGAUACAAAAGGAAACUUUGAUCCCUAAAUUGCCAUAAAGCCUAUGCACUGUCCAGAUCAAUGACACUUUGGCCAGACAUAAGCGAGGUCUGACACCAGCUCUCUCCAGGCCUCUCCUGGACCGAGGGUUCCCCAGGACUGGAUGAGCGUGCUUUCCUGGGCAGCCACUUUCACUGCCCUGCCAGGACAGCGGGCCUGUGCCAGCGUGGGGGUGGGGUGCAGAGGAUGGGCAGGCAGGGACUGAGUUUGCUUUAGGAAGCUGCUGGGUGACUUACUACACGGUUUCUCCCUGAGUCAUCAGGGCAGGGAUGAGUUUGGAGGAGCAGAGUUUUUCUGCCAGUAUUUGGGUUGAGAGGACUCAAAGGGCACCUCAUUUGCAUGAUGAUUUACAUGACUGGGUCUUUAUUCAUAAGCACUGUUGGGAGUGAUGAAAGCUCACAGACCUUGUUUAUGGCUGUUUCCUCAUUUCCACAUUUCCACCUGGCACGCCAGCUGCUAGGCAGGCAUAGCCACUAGAGCAUCUAAUAGGGCCCACUUACGAACACCUUCACGCAGGGUCCUUGGCCUUGGAGGGGUGGGUGUGAAGACAGUGAGCAAACACAGCUUUUUGGGUUUUUGAGGAAGUGACCAUCUGUGGCAGGAGCAGGAGCGAAAAAGAUUCUGAGAGCCCUCAUGAAGGAACUUCUGUGCCAUGGGUUGAGGGGGCACCAGAGCAUGUGGUGGUGGCUACGCAGAGAGCAGAGAUGCUGUGGUCUGGGGGAAGUAGAGAUGAGUUGGCUGUGCCCUCUGGGUCUCAAGCUCCUCCCUGUGUAACGAGACUGAUAAUGCCUACCUUGCUCACUUGCUUUGACGAUUAAAUGAGCUGGUGAGGGCUGGCACCAUGGCUCAUUUGGUUAAUCCUCCGCCUGCAGUGCUGGCAUCGCAUAUGGGUGCCAGGUUCUAGUCCCGGUUGCUCCUCUUCCAGUCCAGCUCUCUGCUGUGGCCUGGGAAGGCAGUGGAGGAUGGCCUAAGUGCUUGGGCCCCUGCACUCACAUGGGAGACCAGGAACAAUCACCUGGCUCCUGGCUUCGGAUCAGCACAGCUCCGACCAUUGCGGCCAAUUGGGGAGUGAACUAAUGGAAGGAAGACGUCUCUAUGUAACUCUGAUUUUCAAAUAAUUAAUAAAUAAAUCUUUUUAAAAAGUACUUGAGUUCCU